GAGACUCAAAUAUGAGGAGCAGCUCAAAAGUCACUCUGAGCAAGCUUCCAAAUUUAAGGCUCAGGAGGAAACGGUGAAAGCUCUGCAGGGUCAGGUUGCGGACCUGAAGGUGGAGUUGAAACUUGCUCUAGAAAACAACCAUCCUAGAGUCUCCACCCGACCACAAGUCCCCCUGCAAAGAGAAGGCUCCCUACAAACAGAGGAGACCAAGGAUAGACAGACCUCCAAUCAACCAGGGAGGUCUAAAGAAAGAUGGACCUCAAAUCAACCAGGGAGGUCUGAAGAAAGACAGACCUCAAAUCAACCAGAGAGGUCUGAGGAAAGAUGGGCCUCCAAUCAACCAGGGAGGUCCGAGGAAAGACAGACCACCAAUCAACCAGGGAGGUCCGAAGAAAGACGGACCUCCAAUCAACCAGGGAGGUCUGAGGAAAGACAGACAUCCAUGCGACCAACCUCCACUGGUUGCAUGGAGGGUCUUCAUGUUGCCGUUGGCACGAAGGCCAAGCUAAGCCCGGCUCGGCCUUUACACCGACCCACACCCAGGUGGCACUAACCUAGGUCAUUAUUCAAGCCCAGGUUUUGCUAACACUUUGCAUUAUGAAAAUUUGAGGCUUUGCACAAAUUUGGCAAAGCCUCAAACUGUUUAACACAUAUUCAUCCAUCAUCUAACAUAACAUACCUAUGUAAGUUAGAUGAUGGAUGAAUAUGUGUUAAACAGUUGACAAUAGAAUACGAAACAGA